UACGGGGGGGGCAAGCGUUGUUCGGAAUUACUGGGCGUAAAGGGCUCGUAGGCGGCCAACUAAGUCAGACGUGAAAUCCCUCGGCUUAACCGGGGAACUGCGUCUGAUACUGGAUGGCUUGAGUGUGGGAGAGGGAUGCGGAAUUCCAGGUGUAGCGGUGAAAUGCGUAGAUAUCUGGAGGAACACCGGUGGCGAAGGCGGCAUCCUGGACCAUAACUGACGCUAAAUAGCGAAAGCCAGGGGAGCAAACGGG
rnacentral:rRNA from 1 species